ncrna:Stenotrophomonas maltophilia R551-3 C4 antisense RNA
UUCUAUGGCGGGCGGUGCGUGGGGAUCUUCGGAUCCGCCGGUCUGGUACAUACCGGUUUUCGAGCCCGCACCGUCCGCCACCUUU